GGGGAUUUAGCUCAGUGGCCUAAGUGCUUGCCUGGCAAGCAGGAGGUCAUGAAUUCAAUCCCCG
rnacentral:tRNA from 1 species